rnacentral:tRNA from 1 species
GGUGACAUAGCCAAGCGGUAAGGCACAGGUCUGCAACACCUCCACCGGCGGUUCAAAUCCGCCUGUCACCU